GAUGAAGAACGCAGCGAAAUGCGAUAAGUAGUGUGAAUUGCAGAAUUCAGUGAAUCAUCGAAUCUUUGAACGCACAUUGCGCCUCCUGGUAUUCCGGGAGGCAUGCCUGUUCGAGCGUCAUUAAAAUCACUCAAGCUUAGGUUUACCUAUUGCUUGGUCUUGGAGAUGGAAGCCAAUUCAUUGGAAUCCUCUUCGAAAUCCAAUGACGAAGACCCUUGCUCUCCCAAGUGUAGUAAUAACUUAUGUCACUGAAGGAAGCGAGAAAUCUUCCGCCGUAACCCCCAUAUUUUCUAUGAUUGACCUCGGAUCAGGUAGGGAUACCCGCUGAACUUAAGCAUAUCAAUAAGCGGAGGA
rnacentral:misc_RNA from 1 species